rnacentral:rRNA from 1 species
CGCAAGUUGCGCCCGAAGCCAUUAGGCUGAGGGCACGUCCGCCUGGGUGUCACGCAUCGCGUCGCCUCCUCCCACACCCCCUUUCCUUUGCAAAAGUGGGUGGAGCCGAGGGGGCGGACAUUGGCCUCCUGUACUGUUCUUGUGCGGCUGGCCUAAAUGUGAU